rnacentral:rRNA from 1 species
GUACUUGUACCGACUGGAUGAGCAGCGAACGGGUGAGUAACGCGUGGGGAAUCUGCCUUUGAGCGGGGGACAACAUUUGGAAACGAAUGCUAAUACCGCAUAAAAACUUUAAACACAAGUUUUAAGUUUGAAAGAUGCAAUUGCAUCACUCAAAGAUGAUCCCGCGUUGUAUUAGCUAGUUGGUGAGGUAAAGGCUCACCAAGGCGAUGAUACAUAGCCGACCUGAGAGGGUGAUCGGCCACAUUGGGACUGAGACACGGCCCAAACUCCUACGGGAGGCAGCAGUAGGGAAUCUUCGGCAAUGGACGAAAGUCUGACCGAGCAACGCCGCGUGAGUGAAGAAGGUUUUCGGAUCGUAAAACUCUGUUGGUAGAGAAGAACGUUGGUGAGAGUGUUUUAGCUCAUCAAGUGACGGUAACUACCCAGAAAGGGACGGCUAACUACGUGCCAGCAGCCGCGGUAAUACGUAGGUCCCGAGCGUUGUCCGGAUUUAUUGGGCGUAAAGCGAGCGCAGGUGGUUUAUUAAGUCUGGUGUAAAAGGCAGUGGCUCAACCAUUGUAUGCAUUGGAAACUGGUAGACUUGAGUGCAGGAGAGGAGAGUGGAAUUCCAUGUGUA